GCCUACGGGAGGCAGCAGUAGGGAAUCUUCCACUAUGGGCGAAAGCCUGAUGGAGCAACGCCGCGUGGGUGAAGAAGGUCUUCGGAUCGUAAAACCCUUUUGUUAGAGAAGAAAGUGCGUGAGAGUAACUGUUCACGUUUCGACGGUAUCUAACCAGAAAGCCACGGCUAACUACGUGCCGGCAGCCGCGGUAAUACGUAGGUGGCAAGCGUUAUCCGGAUUUAUUGGGCGUAAAGGGAACGCAGGCGGUCUUUUAAGUCUGAUGUGAAAGCCUUCGGCUUAACCGGAGUAGUGCAUUGGAAACU
rnacentral:rRNA from 1 species